UACGUAGGGGGCUAGCGUUGUCCGGAAUCAUUGGGCGUAAAGCGCGCGUAGGCGGUCAGGUAAGUCCGGUGUGAAAGUCAUAGGCUCAACCUAUGAAUGCCGCUGGAAACUGCCUGACUUGAGUCCGGAAGGGGCGAGUGGAAUUCCUGGUGUAGCGGUGAAAUUCGUAGAUAUCGGGAGGAACACCGGUGGCGAAGGCGGCGACCUGGGUAGAUACUGACGCUGAGGCGCGAAAGCUAGGGGAGCAAACAGG
rnacentral:rRNA from 1 species